UACAGAGGUCUCAACCGUUGUUCGGAUUUAUUGGGCGUAAAGAGCGCGUAGGCGGCCGAGUAAGUCCGACGUGAAAUCUGGAGGCUCAACCUCCAGCGGUCGUUGGAAACUACUCGGCUAGAGUCCGGAAGAGGAGAGUGGAAUUCCUGGUGUAGCGGUGAAAUGCGCAGAUAUCAGGAAGAACACCGAUGGCGAAAGCAGCUCUCUGGGACGGUACUGACGCUGAGGCGCGAAAGCGUGGGGAGCGAACAGG
rnacentral:rRNA from 1 species